AUUGAACGCUGGCGGCAUGCUUUACACAUGCAAGUCGAACGGUAACAGGCCUUCGGGUGCUGACGAGUGGCGAACGGGUGAGUAAUGCAUCGGAACGUGCCCAGAGGUGGGGAUAACGCAGCGAAAGCUGUGCUAAUACCGCAUGUGAUCUGAGGAUGAAAGCGGGGGACCAGGCAGCAAUGUUUGGCCUCGCGCCUUUGGAGCGGCCGAUGUCAGAUUAGGUAGUUGGUGGGGUAAAGGCCUACCAAGCCGACGAUCUGUAGCUGGUCUGAGAGGACGACCAGCCACACUGGGACUGAGACACGGCCCAGACUCCUACGGGAGGCAGCAGUGGGGAAUUUUGGACAAUGGGCGCAAGCCUGAUCCAGCAAUGCCGCGUGCGGGAAGAAGGCCUUCGGGUUGUAAACCGCCUUUGUACGGAACGAAAAGGCUCUGGCUAAUACCUGGGGCUGAUGACGGUACCGUAAGAAUAGGCACCGGCUAACUACGUG
rnacentral:rRNA from 1 species